GGCAUGGGGGCAGCUACCAUGCAGUCGAACGGUAACAGGAAGCAGCUUGCUGCUUUGCUGACGAGUGGCGGACGGGUGAGUAAUGUCUGGGAAACUGCCUGAUGGAGGGGGAUAACUACUGGAAACGGUAGCUAAUACCGCAUAACGUCGCAAGACCAAAGAGGGGGACCUUCGGGCCUCUUGCCAUCGGAUGUGCCCAGAUGUGCCUACGGAUAGCUACCCGUGCUCCAUGGCUACAAGAAACGUCACUCUCUCCGAGACAGCGGAACCCUUUAAAGUGCACCUGUGAUUCCAGUAAAUGUCCAGGUUUGGAAUAGGCUAGUAGGUGGUUAACGUUCACUACGCACGAUCCUAGCGUCGAGAGGAGUGAUCAGCCACUGACUGAGACACGUCAGACCCUACGGAGGCAGCAGUGGGAAUAUGCACAAUGGCGCAGCUGAUGCAGCAUGCCGCGUGUAUGAGAGCUCGGGUGUAAAGUACUUUCAGCGGGGAGAAGUGAUGAGAUAAUAAUCUCAUCGAUUGACGUACCCGCAGAAGAAGCACCGGCUAACUCCGUGCCAGCAGCCGCGGUAAUACGGAGGGUGCAAGCGUUAAUCGGAAUUACUGGGCGUAAAGCGCACGCAGGCGGUCUGUCAAGUCGGAUGUGAAAUCCCCGGGCUCAACCUGGGAACUGCAUUCGAAACUGGCAGGCUAGAGUCUUGUAGAGGGGGGUAGAAUUCCAGGUGUAGCGGUGAAAUGCGUAGAGAUCUGGAGGAAUACCGGUGGCGAAGGCGGCCCCCUGGACAAAGACUGACGCUCAGGUGCGAAAGCGUGGGGAGCAAACAGGAUUAGAUACCCUGGUAGUCCACGCCGUAAACGAUGUCGACUUGGAGGUUGUGCCCUUGAGGCGUGGCUUCCGGAGCUAACGCGUUAAGUCGACCGCCUGGGGAGUACGGCCGCAAGGUUAAAACUCAAAUGAAUUGACGGGGGCCCGCACAAGCGGUGGAGCAUGUGGUUUAAUUCGAUGCAACGCGAAGAACCUUACCUACUCUUGACAUCCAGAGAACUUAGCAGAGAUGGAUUGGUGCCUUCGGGAACUCUGAGACAGGUGCUGCAUGGCUGUCGUCAGCUCGUGUUGUGAAAUGUUGGGUUAAGUCCCGCAACGAGCGCAACCCUUAUCCUUUGUUGCCAGCGGUUAGGCCGGGAACUCAAAGGAGACUGCCAGUGAUAAACUGGAGGAAGGUGGGGAUGACGUCAAGUCAUCAUGGCCCUUACGAGUAGGGCUACACACGUGCUACAAUGGCGCAUACAAAGAGAAGCGACCUCGCGAGAGCAAGCGGACCUCAUAAAGUGCGUCGUAGUCCGGAUUGGAGUCUGCAACUCGACUCCAUGAAGUCGGAAUCGCUAGUAAUCGUGGAUCAGAAUGCCACGGUGAAUACGUUCCCGGGCCUUGUACACACCGCCCGUCACACCAUGGGAGUGGGUUGCAAAAGAAGUAGGUAGCUUAACCUUCGGGAGGGCGCUUACCACUUUGUGAUUCAUGACUGGGGGAAGUCGAGAUGAGCAGGCUC
rnacentral:rRNA from 1 species